AUGAAUGUUUGUUGUGAGAAUGUUGAUAUUGCAGCUUUGAUUGACACUGGACAUUCAAUUAACAUUAUGUCCGCUUCGAUAUAUAAAUCUUUACCAAGGCAUGUUAAAUCCGAUAUCAGUAGGUUCACUGAACCCAUUAAAUUAGCAAAUGGACAAUUAAUAUUUGUAGAAGGAACUUCUUCCGUAACAAUACAAACAAAUCAAGGUUUGCAUGAGGUCAAAGUGUACAUUCUUAGCACGACAUCACAUCCGUUAAUUCUAGGUAUGGAAUAUUUGAAAUCUAGUAAUAUUACAUUGAAGUUCAGUGAAUUUAACACAAAUAGUAAAUAUCAUCAUGUGAAAUGUAAUAAAAGGCUAUGUAUUCAGCCAAAUUCUGAAAUUUUUGUUCGGGCAAAUGUGCCGAAACAUUUAUCUGUUGGUCUUCAAGGUAUAUGUAUCAACAAUGUGUUUUCGGUUGGAAAAGGACUGCUUCUUGCAAAAGCGUUAGUCACUGUGUCAAUUGAUAAAACUAUUCCUUUGAAGAUAAUGAACCCUACAAAUACAACAAUUUCAGUCUCUAAAGGGUCAAUCUUAGCGAACUUUCAGAUAUUGAAUGCUGACUUUAGUGUUAUAACUGAAGACAUUAAAUGUCCCCCUGUAGUUCAAAAUGUACAGAUUGGAUCCACUCAUCCGAUUAUUUCAACGAGUAAAAACAAUGAAUUUAGGGAUGAAACUAAGACAGUGUUUUUGUCGAAUUUUAGUAUUCCUGAACCAUUAAAUCCGGAACAAACAACGCAAUUAACUGACUGUUUAUAUGAAAACAAAGACAUUUUCGUCACAAAAGAAAAUCCUGAUCUAGGGUUCUCAACUUAUGUACAACAUAAAAUAAAUCUUAAACCUGAUGUUAAACCAAAACACCAACAACCGUAUCGACUCCCGCCACAUAAAAGAGAAGUAUUGCGGCACCAUUUAGAUGAACUCCUUAAACAAGGAAUCAUAGCACCGAUUAGCGAGGAAGAAAAUGUGCCUAUCACAAGUCCAAUAGUAUUGGUGACUAAACGAAAAAGACAAAAUGAUGCUUUUCAAAGUGAAAAGGAUGCAGCCCUAUCACAAUAUAGAUUUUGUUGCGAUUUUAGAUAUUUAAAUUCAUGUACAGAACAGUUUAAAUAUUUUAUUCCUAAUCUACAAGAACUUACAGAGUCAUUUUCACAAUUUGUUCCAAACUAUAUAUCGUCAAUUGAUUUGUCCUCAGGAUUUUUUCAGUUAGGCAUUGACCCUGAGUCUUCACGCUACACCGCAUUUAAUACAUGUUUUGGUACAUAUAAAUUUUUGCGUUUACCGAUGGGACUUUCGUCAUCACCAGCAUCUUUCCAAUUACUCAUGGACAAAGUGUUGCAUGGGCUAAAAUUUAAGUCAUGUCUUUGUUACCUUGACGAUGUUUUGAUAUGCUCGGAGACAUUUGAGCAACAUAUUACUGACUUACAAGAAGUUUUUCAUAGAUUUCGUUCUGCAGGUCUUAAGUUAGGACCAAAGAAGUGUUCGUUUGCUCAGUCGUCAUGUAUCUUUUUAGGCCAUUCUAUUUCAAAGGAAGGAGUAAGUCCGCCACCUGAUCGGGUACAGGCAAUUCAGGAAUACCCACCACCUAAAAAUAUAAAAGAGCUACGGCGUCUUAUAGGAAUGCUUAACUGGUUCCGAAAAUUUAUUCCGAAUUUCAGUGCAAAAAUAUCACCAUUAACUAGAUUACUGAAAAAGGGUCAGUUUUUCGUUUGGAAUGUUGAACAACAAUCGUCAUUUAAUGAUUUGAAAUAUGCGUUACUGAACUCAAAAAUAUUAGCAUUUCCCAAUUAUGAUUUGACAUUUAGACUUGCUGUAGACACAUCUUCGCGUGGGAUUGGUUACAUGUUAUAUCAAAUGCAUCCUAAUGUAAACGGUGAAGAACAACCAAGAGUUAUACGAUUUGGUUCAAAAUCGUUAAGUAGAUGGCAACAGUCCUAUGGACCGACAAAACUCGAACUUUUGGGCAUGGUAGUUAGUAUACUAGACUGUGCUGAUUAUUUACGUGGAAAUAAAUUUGUUGUUGAAUGCGACCAUCAAGCUCUGAGACCUAUUUUUCAAAAACAAUUCAAGGGUGCAAUUUAUGAACGAUGGAUGGCUAUUUUACAACAAUUCAAUUUUGACCUGCAAUAUAAACCGGCAGAACAAAUGCAAGUAGCAGAUGCAUUGUCCCGAUGUACGAGAAAAAAUGAUGAACCCGUCAUCAGUCCAGAUGAAGAUGAUCCAUUCUUUCCUUAUGUCACAGAACGAACUGGCCAAAUCAAAUUGCCGUCCGGUAGAAAUUUAGCUGACUUUCUUCAUAAUUCUGAAACCGAAUCCGCAACGGUCAUAAAUGUAAAUAAUGUAAAUAAUAUAGAUAUUUUCUCUGAAUGUGUUUAUGAUGCUGAUACAGACGAUGUUCUUGAGACACCAACACAAAAGAAGAAAACUAAACUUAACAAAAAGUGUGAAACUGUAAAUGUUACCCAAGUUCAUAACAAUGACUCUUUAUAUGAUAAAUCAACUGACCAGUGUAGUGACAAAAUAGACAUUUUUGAUAUUUCCACGGUGUAUGAUACGCCAAGUGACAAUAAUUUCGAUAAACCUACGCAAAAUCAUGACAAUACUUUAUCGGAACUUGAAAUUUUUAAAAACAGUGAUUUAACACCCCAAAAUAUUAAAGAUUUGCAAAGGAAAGAUCCUGAUUUAUUACCUAUGAUUAUUUACUUGGAAGAAAAUAAACUUCCUAAUUUACAGAAAGAAGCUAGGAAAUUAUUAUUACAAGCGGCUGAUUAUCUUUUGAUUAAUGGCGUAUUAUUUCAUAGCUCGGUAAAGAAGAAAUCCCGUAGAGCAAGUAAUUUAGACAAUUUUCAACUUGUGGUUCCGAGAUUAAUGAGAAAUUUAGUGUUACACAUGUGUCAUGAUUCACCUCUAGGAGGUCAUUCUGGAAUUAAAAAUACAAUCGAUAGAGUACGUGAACAUUAUUAUUUUUCGAGGUUAUCUACAAUAGUAUCAGAAUAUGUCAGGACAUGUCACGAAUGCCAAAUACGUAAAACCUCAAGUGUACACACUAAAGCAGGUAUAAUUUCUUUUCCGACACCAUCAGCACCGUUUCAGGUAUGGGAAGUAGACUUAUGUGGGCCUUUCCCACGUUCAUCGGCAGGACAUUCACAUAUAUUCACUGCUGUUGACAUGUUUAGUAAACUUGUGUUUGCUGUACCUUUGCAUAAUUGUGAUGCGCUGUCUGUAUGUCAUGCACUUUUUCAAUUAUUUUCGUCUUAUGGUGUUUGCCAUACUUUAUUGAGUGACCAAGGGUCAGAAUUUAUUUCAAAAGGUACAAAAGAACUAUGUAAAAUGUUGGAAGUUUCCCAAGAGUUUACACCAAGUUUUGCACAUCAUUGUUUAGGUACAUGUGAACGUUCACAUCGAACAUUAGAAGAACGAAUGACUCCAUAUAUAAGAAAAGGUCGACCUUGGAAUGAUAUUUUACCAGCUGUAAUAUUUUCAAUGAACUCCUGCACAAAUGCAGCUUCACAAUACUCGCCGUUUGAAGUGGUAUAUGGUAAUAGACCCCAAUUUCCGCUUUCAACUCCUCAUGAUUUAGAUUUAAGAGAUAUUCCAAAAGAUAUACACGUUUACCUUAAACAAUUGCAACAAAAAUUGAGCACAAUACGAAAAGAAGUCCAAAUAAACGUUGAAAAGGCAAAUGCUAAAAUGGUUGAAAGAGUUAAUAAAACAACAUCACCUCUAAAAUUGUCAGUUGGAGACUAUGUGUACUUGCACAUUGCACGACGAGCCUAUUGGUCAGGGACGAAAAUUACAAGCUAA
rnacentral:sRNA from 1 species